CGAUCUCCUCCGCCUUCCUUUGGCCCCUUCCGUCUCGCGUCGGCCUCUUAACGGCCGCUCGGCCUCACGCCAGCGCCCGGCUAUACUACCUUUCGCCCGCCCGUCUCCGCCUCCAUGCAGCACCGCUCGCCGGCGGCGGCCACGGCCUCCGGAGCUGCCUCCACUGCGGCCGCCAUGGAGCCAGGCGUCGGCGGCGUCGAGCCUGCGGUGACGCUCGACCAGGUGCCGCGCUGGAGCGACCCCGACCAGCGCCUGUACACACCGUCCUCCUCGUCCGCCACCGCCGAAGCCGCGGACGGCGGAUCCGAGCCCGCAGCGUCCGCCUUCCUCUCCUUCUCCGACCCGCUCACCGGCGACGACGGCGGCGCCGCCGGUGGUGGCUGCGCGGGCGCCUCGCGCUUCCCCGUGGACCACGAGAUCAACUCCAGGAUCUACCUCUGGCGGGGACACCCCUGGAACAUGGAGGUCGACGCCGUCGUCAACUCCACCAACGAGAGCUUGGACGAGGCGCACAGUAGUCCUGGGCUGCACGCUGCAGCAGGUUCUGGGCUCGCGGAGGAAUGCGCCACCUUGGGAGGGUGCCGAACUGGGAUGGCAAAGAUGACCAAUGCAUACGAUCUUCCUGCGAGGAAGGUCAUCCAUACAGUGGGACCCAAAUAUGCUGUCAAGUAUCACACAGCUGCGGAAAAUGCACUUAGUCAUUGCUACCGGUCAUGUUUGGAACUACUCAUUGAGAACGGCCUUGAAAGCAUCGCAAUGGGUUGCAUAUACACGGAAGCUAAAAACUAUCCUCGUGAACCAGCUGCCCAUGUGGCAAUAAGGACUGUUAGACGUUUUCUGGAGAAACAGAAAGGCAAGAUAGCUGGUGUUAUUUUUUGUAUUACAUCAUCAUCUGAUACAGAGAUAUACAAAAGAUUGCUUCCGCUAUAUUUCCCUCGGGACAAGCAAGAGGAAGAGACUGCGGUAUCAAAACUUCCAGCUGAUGUCGGGGAUGAGAAUGGUGAAACUGUAAUAGAUGAAAGGAAAAUAAGAAUAAGACCAUUGCCUGCUGGUGCAGCAGAUAGAACAGUGGCUACAGCUCCUCUUGAUCUUCCUCUUGAGUCUGGAUUGGCAUCAAGCAGGAGUACAUUCAAACUGGAUUCGUAUUUGGACCCUUCAUUUAUGUCAUUAAUUAAAGACCCGGAUCUACGGCGCAAGGAGCAGUGGGGAAAAUCUUCUCAAGCUCAAAAGCGAUUUAAUUAUGCUAGGUUGCUUGGAUAUGGUGAUAUAGGUUUCCCUCCAUUGUCUGCUGCCGAGGAAUAUUCACUUCAUUCACGAUACCUUGCGAAAGCAAAUUCCCUUAAUCUUUCAGAGAUUGCUGAGAUGAAAAUAAUUUAUCGUGGUGGAGUUGAUAGUGAAGGGCGCCCAGUUAUGGUUGUUGUUGGUGCGCACUUUCUUCUUCGCUGCCUGGAUCUUGAACGGUUUGUUCUACAUGUAGUGAAGGAGUUUGAACCUUUGAUUCAGAAGCCAUAUACUAUUGUCUAUCUCCACUCGGCAGCAUCAUUACAACCGUAAGUGUUUGGUACAAAGAAAUGUCUACUUGAUCCCCUGAGGUUUGGAGCCGGGACAACCUGACCUAUUCUAAAGGCAACCAGAUUUAGGAUUCAUGAAAAGGAUACAACAAAUAUUAGGCCGGAAACAUCAGCGAAACCUUCAUGGGAUUUAUAUACUCCACCCAACCUUGGGGUUGAGAACAGCUAUUCUGGGGAUGCAGCUUUUGAUUGAUGGAGAGGUAUGGAAGAAAGUUGUGUAUGUUGACAGGCUGGUGCAAUUGUUCAGAUAUGUACCACGCGAACAAUUAACUAUCCCAGAUUUUGUAUUUCAGCAUGAUUUGGAGGUGAAUGGUGGUAGAGGCAUGAUUGUGGACCCAAGAACAAAACAUAUCUAUCAGAGACCAUCUGGCUGAUUCAUGUCAUUUAUGCAGUCCAAUGCUCAUACUUCUUGCUUUUGCAAGUCUUUGUAUAAUUACUCCUUUGUUGAUAUUUCUCUUUUUCCUUUGUAUCUAAUUUAGGUGUUCUAUUCCUUUCA